CACACACGCACACCUCACGAUUUGCAACAAUAACACACACAUACAUAUGCGAACACAAGCUCCAACACUGAAACACGCACACAAACUUAACCACCCUCGUGGUGACAUGCGGUAGCCGAAGAGCAACAACAAAAGGGGCAGCCGUUCGGAGCGGCGGCAGCGGCAGAACGUGAUGAAGCAACAUAAAAGAAACUGAGAAGGAAAGGUGUCACGACCCUUAACCGAGAACGACAACAUCGACAACUACGAACCUCCUUUCUUCCUACUUCUCCCCUGUCACCGCAUUCAAACUUCGAUCUCCAUCUUCAUCGACAGUGGGAGCAGUGGCGGUGGUGCUCGAUGGUUCACGACAACGGCAAGGGGGUGGCGGAUGGAGAAUAAUUCUAGGGUUAGGGUUUAUAUGUGUAGUCGGUUAGCAAGAGGGUAGAGGGGGAAUGAGUUUUAGCCCGCCUCCAUUUCAAACUUAUGACCAUUUCACACUUUUAGUCACUCCUUCCUAAAUCAUUUUCGAAUUAAGUCAAUAAUUUACUUUAUAGUCGCCUGCUUCCAAAAACCCUUACAAUUCAAGUCCAAAAGUUACCAAACAACCCUCGAUUUCUAGAAUUUUUAACAUUUAACUCAUCGUGCUAAUGCUCUAACAAAUUAUUACGGGUUUAGGGCUAACAUAAAAAUAUAAAAAUACAUCUCAGGGUUUUAGGGUUUAUUAUUUAUUAUUUAUCUUAUUUAUUUUCUUAUUUUAUUUUAUCUAUUUUAUUUUAAAUGGGAUGUUACAUUUUCCUUUCUAUCUGAUGCCUAAUUAUAGAUUAUUCGAUUUCACUAUGUUUACCCAAUAACUGUUUUGUAUUCUCAUUCGGUUUAUAUUUACUAAAGGCUUGUUUAAUUUGUAUAUAUAUAUGUUUUUCUUCACAGGUUGGUUUCUUUAAUCCAUAGCAGCUUUGAAGGAGCUUUUGCCACCUGCAAAAUCAUCUUCUUCCAUCUUCUAUAAUCCUUCAAGAGACCCAUGAUUUAAGCAAAGAUACAACACCCCAAACAGAGGAUGAAAAUAUUGAAAUCAUCGAAAAGAAAUUUGUCCCAUUAUACAACACACUUAAGCGUGUAAAGAAUCAGCCAUUAAAACCAUAUGACUUUGGUGACGGUGGAGCUUUUUCCGAGAUACACUAUUCAUAGUACCCUCUUGAUAUUGGUAGGAAAAAAGAUUCAUCUUCAGGCCCAAAAACACUACCCGUAACAGUCGAUAAACAUGGUAAUUUAACAUUUAAUGCGACCAUGAAGCAGAAAGAAAACACUUUAAAGAUUGCUCAUUUACAGCAUAAAGAUCUUGUACCCAAGAUUCUAAAAGAUGAAGAGGAAGCGGAAAAACAGAAAAAGAUCGAAGAAACUACCUUUCAAACAAAAGCAACUCUCGAAAAGAUUGUGAAUGUAAGACUAAAGGCAACACAACCCAAAAACGCUACCAUACAAUCUCAAGAUUCAAAGUUUAUCAAAUACAAACCUCCCUAGACUGUAACAAGAUAUUGGAAAAUCCUUCCUUGUAUUAAAGUCCAAGUUUGAAGGUUAACUUGAUAUGGCAAAUGUUAUGGAUGUGACAAGCAAACCGGUUAAAACAAGUUAGAGGAACUGUAACACUAAAAGACCAUCAAGAUUGUCCACAUGUUCAUUUUCAUAAAACCACAAAAAUAAUUUAAAGAAUAAAUGAAAAUUCUGAGGACAUUUGAGUCCUUUUCCUGUUCGUAUCAAUAUCAUCAGUUGUACAAUUUCGUGUGCUAUUAUUUUUUUCAAAUAAAACUUUAGGAGAAAAGAAUAAUAAUAAUAAUAUAAUGACGAAGCCAAUUGAAUUCCCCUCAAUCGAUGCUUGUGGCUUCCAAACCCUAAUUUUCUCACACGUCGCUUAACCAAAACCCCCUUUUGUUCACGAAACGGAAAACUAACAAAAAGAUCAAGAUCCGAAAUCAAUUAAAACUGUUCAAUUUUGUAUUAUAACUGCGUCCUUGAACACGCAACAAGCUGUCUUUUCGGAAUUGAAGAAGAUAGAAGGGAGUGAAAAUCCCCAAUUUCAUGACCCGACAUCGUCAAAUCAAUAGAUCAACAAUCGUUUUCUGCUCUGGUGAUUUUCUGUUCAUAUACACGAAUUGAUUGGAAUUUGAGCUUGGAAUCUAUGUAAUUGUAUAAGUAUCGAUGAGAAUCGAGGAAAUUAGGGUUUCUUUAUAUUUUCUUAGCUAGCAGAGUUUCGUUGUACUUAUAGUAAUCGUGCAGAGGUCUUUUGAUGUAUUUCGUUGUUGGUUAUCUUAGUCAUAUCUGAUACUUAAUUACACUUUGGUGACGUAAGUUUCAGAUGCCUAAUCCAUGUGUUCGAUAUGCUCGGUGAACAUAUAAUUAGUUGAUCAUUCUCCUGACGCGUUCUAUAAAAAUAACGCUUAGGUUGCAUUGCGGAAUUGAUGAAUAUGCUGUGCAGGUAGAAAUUGCUAGUCUUGGUUGGCUUGAUGGGUGCUCCUAAGCAGAAAUGGACAUCUGAAGAAGAAGCAGCUCUGAAAGCUGGAGUUCUUAAGCACGGAGCAGGAAAAUGGCGCACAAUUCUUAAAGAUCCAGAGUUUAGCAGUGUGCUUUACCUGCGCUCUAAUGUGGAUCUUAAGGUUUGCAUCUUUUUCAUAUGGCAUUUUCUGCUGUAGGGUAUUACAUAUCUGAAAUUUUCUUUUAAUUGUUGGUUUAUUGACUUGGAUCAGGACAAAUGGAGGAACAUGAGUGUAAUGGCAAAUGGAUGGGGAUCUAGGGAGAAGGCUAGGUUAGCCCUGAAAAGAGUGCAACAUGUCCCUAAGGAUGACAACCCUCUCUCACUCACACCCGCUGAUCCCAGUGAUGAAGACUCAGGUGAUGUGAGGCCUCUUCAGUCUUCUAGUGGUUCUCCACAAGUUGGUGCUUCAAAAAGAUCUAUGAUAAGGUUAGGCUCUAUUUCUUUAUUCUUUUUCACACUAACUGCUGUAUGGAUAAAUAAAUGAUGUUUGUCUGGAUAAAUGAUGAUGAAUUGAUGUAUGGAUAAAGUGAUGUAUGAACAAAGACUAUUUCUUUGUUACAUUGAAUAAACCUUCUGAACGACAAUAAAUGACGAUUGUACCCUUUGUCUGGAAUUAAUGAUAAAAUCAACUGACAAAUAGCUUGAACCAUUUUACCUUUCGUGUCAUGAACAGGCUGGACAAUCUUAUAAUGGAGGCAAUAAACAACUUGAAGGAGCAUGGUGGCUCUAAUAAGACUACCAUUGGCACAUACAUAGAGGUAUAUUAUGUUUUUUUUAGCUUUUUUAGUUUAGUUUCUUUUUAAUCAGCAUAUUUAAUAAUAACAAGUUUUGAACCUUAAAUGCCUCUAGUUCCACUUUUUAAAUGACAUUUGUCUCUUGUUUUACAGGAGCAAUAUUGGGCACCUCCAAAUUUUAAGAGACUUCUAUCAAUGAAGUUAAAGUUUCUGACUGCAACUGGAAAACUAAUCAAGGUAUAAUCUGUGUUAUCAAAUGCCAUAUGUCAUCUGAUUUUUAUGUAGGUAUCCACGAAAUAUGUUCUCAAAUCAUGUUAAUAUGUUUUUUUUUUGUUAAAUUAUUUAUUGGUUGGAUGUUUUUUUUUUUUUUUUGUGUUGCAGACAAAACGCAAAUAUAAAAUCGCAUCAGCAAAUGCAUCAUCAUCUGACAAGAAAAGGGUUUCUACCAUGUUACGAUUAGAGGGAAGACACAAGGGUUCUUCUCCAAAAGUUGAUAAGGAUGAAAUCAAUGUUCCUACAAAAGCUCAGAUUGAUUUAGAACUACAAAAGAUGAGGAGUAUGACACCACAGGAGGCGGCGGCGGCCGCCGCUCNNNNNNNNNNNNNNNNNNNNNNNNNNNNNNNNNNNNNNNNGGAGGCGGAGGCAGCUGAGGCUGAUGCAGAAGCUGCUCAAGCUUUUGCAGAGGCGGCUAUGAAGACACUUAAAGGGAGGACCGCGCAAAGGCUGGUAAAUAUUAAUCCUUUCUUUUUGACUGGAUAAGACAAAACAGGUUGUACUGUGUUUAACAUCUGUUAAAAGAGACUAGACUAAUGUCAAUGGAACAAAAAUUACAAUAUUUUAUUUUAUGCAUAUAAUGUUGUGACAAUUAUAACUUGUUGCAGAUGAUUCGUGCUUGAUGGAAAUGGGAAUGACGAGGGAUUUUGUUAUACAUGCUUUGAUGUGGAUUUUUGAUGAACUUUGCAGUUGUAAAUAUAGUUUGUUGAUUCAGAAUCACUCAACUGGCAAAUGAGAACAUUUGGUGGUUAUAUUUUUUUUUUUUUAUAUAUUUUAUAAAAAGGGAGUAAGAUAGAAUAAAACAUUGGUUGAUGUUGUUGUUGGUUGUCAACAUGAGAUGUUUUGAUUUUACAUAUUGUAUUGUGAUUUUUUUUGGUAUGCUUAAAUUCGUUUUAUUUUGUUUUAGAAGUUGAGAGCUUGGGAAAAAUUUGGUAUUAGCCUUGAAAUAAAUAUGUUCAUAUCUUACAUCCAUGUCAUCAAUAUGAAUAUCAAAAUACAACAAAUAUGUGUCAUCUAUGAUUCAUUAUGUAAAUAGUUACAUCGGGAGAUAUUUAACAUAGACUCUUUUGGCGUUGAAUCUGAUUGUAUUUUGCACAUUGUUAAUUGUUAAGUUGGAAUUAUUAUAAUGGCUAAAAGUGUAUUGCUACUAUAGAGAAAAGUGUUUUUAGUUUUAGCUAAAAGUCAAAGUAUGUUGUCUUAAUGAAUAAAAGUCAAAUUAUUUUUACUUGGGAUCUUAAAGAAAAAGAUAAGAAAGGAAUUAAUGUUGUUGGAAGGGCAUUGCAUUCUUUUUGGAAGUACUUAUAAGGAGAAAGGGAAUCUAGAGCUAAUUCGAGAGUAUUUUUCACACUUUAAGUAGCAUUUUGUAUGUGAGAUUGGACAAAACAGAAUAAAAUAAAUGUAGAUAAACACAGAUAAAUUGUUAGAUAGUCAUAAGAGACUAUUUUAAAAUUUUAGUUGAGAUAAUGUUAGAUUUUUAAGAUAAUAGUUUUGUCUAAUAAUAUAUAUUCCACCAAUCACAAAAUGACAUUUGGUAUAAAAACUAAAAAAAAUAUGGUGAGUGUGUUGCUUGAUAUCACUCAUUAUUAUUAUUUUUAAAUUUUUUUGGCUCAUUGUGUAUCUCCUCAUUCACAUGGUAUCCAGCGUCGAUAAUGCUUAACCACACCCAUUGUAUCAUUACCAUAACAUGGCUCAUAGAACACUCCACCACCUAACAUGGUUUUAGCAAACUUUAGAGAAAACCACUUACGGUGAGUAAAUGCAUCAAUUAAGGGUUACACAACUCACACUGUAAAAACAAUAUAUAAAUAUUAAAAAAAAAAAAAAAAACCCUUUUGUGGAGCGUACUAAGCUUUAAUGGUAAAGUGUAUGACUAUAAAUGGAAACCAAACCUUAACAAACUAAAGAUCAAGGUUACUCUAAGAAAGAUGGUAUGGUCACAUGUCUUUAGAGCUAACAUGGUAUGGUUUCUUUUUGAAAGAUGGGAUUCUUUUACGAAAAGUAAUAUGUUUAGUACAAAAAAGAUUUAUUUUUAUAAAGAACUAGAUUAUAUCUACACAUAAAUUCUAAAUACCAUUGCUAUGUUUUCCGUUUAUAGGUUUCAAACUAUCUCACAAUGACUAUGAUGUAAUAUCUAGAGUCUCGAACUCUCCCAUUAUUUUGACCCUAAUUNNNNNNNNNNNNNNNNNNUAGCCUUCUAUGGAUCUAAUCUUUCUUCUGUUGAAAGGACUCUCCCAUCAACUUACUAGGCUUAUGGUUUUUGUCUUAACAGUAAGAUGUUAACACUUUAACAAGUUAGAUCCAAAUUUAGUUAAGUAAAUUAAGUCAAAUGUCAUAUCUUAACCCCCAAUAUUAAAAAUUCAACUCCCAAUCCUAAUAGACUUUGAAUUUAGUUCUAACCUAACAAUUAAACAAAAUUUCGAAUUUAUUUAUUUAAAUUCACUAAAUUUGAAAUGUUAAUAAAUUACUCUUAUUUAACUUUCAUAUAAAAAUUAAUUUAUUUUAUAAGAAAUCACAUUAAUUUAAUUUGUUUUGAGAGAGAGGGAGCUAGAGAGAAAGAGGAACAUCACCGAAUAAAUUAAAAUGAGAAAUAUAUAUAUUAUAGUAGCUUGUUAUCAUUAGAAUGAAUAGUCAUAAACUCAUAAUAUACAACACAUUGUAGUGUUGGACAACAAAAUCCUCCAGUACAAUCUUUUGAUCUUUCAUGGUGUAGCUCCAGACCAGUGAAUUGAAAUCGAGCAAUUAUAAUAACAAUCGUAUUUCAAAUUUAUGAUUCAGGAGCAGGAGCAGGAGCAGAUUCUUCUCCAUUGACCUCAAGUUGGCUAUAGUUUCCUUUAGACUUGAAGAGUUGAAUAUGGUGAUGCUUGCAAUACAACCUGCCCUCAUGAGCAAUGUAAUUUGAAGGGCUUAUGGUGCACCCCCCAUGGCAGCACUUGAAACAGCUUCUAUGGUAUGCAGAUCCAUUAACAGUAACCUACAUUCAAAUAGUUUAAUUACACACAUAAAGUAGUCAUUUUUUGCAUUUUGUACAGAGUUUUAAAUGAAAAAAACGAUAUGAAAUGGUAAUAUUUUUACCCUUUCAGUUGGAUAAACGGUCUUGGAACACCCAACACAUUUCUCUCUAGUACCCCCGAAUAAAUUUGAGACUUUGGCUGCAUUCUGUUAGAUAAAAAAAAAUCGUUGCAUCAAUAGCACAUUGUCACAAGAUAAGUUUAUUUUUGAUUUUUUUUUUUUUUGUUGUGAUAAAAAGCAAAUUGUCCAAAUUAAAUACCUCAGCGUUAACAGGUUUUUCAAUCUUGAACUUUGGUGUUCCUGAAAUAUAUCAAACACAAAAUAUUUUUUGAGGAAUUUGUAAUUUAAAAGUUUGAAACGUAUUUAGAAAAUAAUAUUAAUCAUUAAAUUAACCGUCAAAGCUCUUUUCCAAGCUGCCAGUUCUCUUGAAGAGUUGAUCAAAGUGAGGCUUGCAAUACACGACUCCGUCGAAAGAAUUGAAGUUGCUAAGCUGCAAAUAUUCCCGAUCAAAUUAUAUUAGUUUUAUGUUAUAUAAGUUAACUUUUUAUUAAUUUUAUCUGUGUAAUAUUGUUAUUUUACGUGUUUUAUUUAUGAUAUUACGAAAUAAGAAUGAUUUUUAUUUGGGUCAUGUUGAUUUUUGGAAAUAAAUGAAAAUUGAAAGAAAAAAAAUGAAACAUAAUAUUGUUUAUAAAAAAUGAAAAAGAAACUAACCUUGAGGGUACGGUUGCAAUGAUGGCAUCGGAAACAGGCUUUGUGAUAAAUACGUUGAUUGGCUGCUAGCCGAUCAACCAAAUAUACAGUUUUAUCACAAACUGCACAUUUUUGUGUUGUUGCUACAAACCCUCCGGCCAUUUUUUUGUGAACAGAGUUCUUUUUCUCUUGUUGUAAUUACAAUAAACAACUUGAGAAAAAGAACUCGAUCAAACUCGUUUAUUUUCUACAUUUUAAUCUUAUUUUUCCUAUCCCUUAAAUAGGUAGAUAAACAUGAUUGAAUAGUGGGCUGGGAGCAAAUUAAGGAAAAACUAUGAUCCGAUCAUCAUGCAUUCCUAUUUUAAGUCUUUUACCUUUUCAUUACUUCAUCCCUUAUUUUUCUCUAGAAGGAUUAAUAAAAUGACCACAAGAAGAGUAAAAUUUUAUGUCGUCCGUUUAUUAACAUAUUGCUAAUAAUAUACCAGGCAUACCGAUAAUGAAACUUAAAGCAUGGCCUUAAAAACUUAUUCAUUUCUAGGUAAUAAUAUUAUUGAAUUCUACGGUUAAAAUAAUUAAUGAAACUGUUUUUUGGUAAUUCCUUCAUUGAUUCAAGUAGUUGAUGAGAUUAACAUCUAGGUGGCUCAACAAGGAUUUUUUUUUCGAGCAUAAAAAAAUUAUCAAUUGAAGUUUAACAUAAGUUACAAACUAUCAAUAACUAAUAUACGCGAUUAAUUCCCCUGUGAUAAAGGGAUUGAUGUUAAUUCAACACCUUUUUUUAUGUCAUUAUAUUAAGACCACGUGGAUCAUCUUUUACUUCAUGUUUGGUUGCACAGUGGCGGAGCUUCGAUCUUUCAUUUGGGGGGCCGAAAAUAUAAUUUGUAUAAAAAUUGGUGAAUAGGGGGGGUCAUAGUCAAAAUUUUAUAUUUUUGGGCCUAAUAUGUAUAAAUCUUAAAGUAUAAGGACUAUUUCCGCCAAAAAAAUAAGAUCCGCCCUUGGUUGCACACUCGAUUUGGAGGCAAAUUGGAAGGUGGUGGAACGUAGAUUUGUCUAUGUUUUUGACUUUUGUGGAUUUAAUCACUUGGCAGACAAAGCAAAGUUAAAUGCAGUUAAAAGGAAAGGUUUCGGUGUCAUCAUUACCACAACUUGUUGGGUCCUUUGGAACUUCCGAAACAAUACUUUAUUUGGAGCGAUGAAACCCAGGAAGUCAAUUAUCUUUAAUAACAUAGUUUCUCAAUCGUUUUUUAGAUUUAUAAUAUGAGUAAAAAACGUAUAAGAUAAAGUGUAUUGGUUGGUUGCAUUCUAUAAUAAUAUGUGCAAAAAGGCAAGAUAAAAUGUCUUGGUUGGUUGCAUGACCCUUGGAUUGCCAUUUCCUCUUUGUAAUGUCUUUGUCUAGCAUCUUGCUAAACCUUAUCAAAGUUCAGCCGUCCAGGAAAAGAAAACUCCAUGGUAAUCCAAAUAACUGAUAUGCACUUAAAUGGUCAUUUCGUUUGAUAAUGUAGCCCAACAUUAUACAUAUGAUGAAUAAAAUUAGUGAUAAACAUUGAACUAAACUGAGAUAAAAAGACAAUUUGGUAAUGAGUUUGAUUAAACUUCUACAAAUAAAUGGUAGAAAUACACCUUAAAUACAUUUACACACACAACAUGUAGUAAUUGUAAAAAUCAAAGCCUACCCAUGCAUGCCACCAUGCUCAUUAGAACAGAUUUUCAUUCUCCCAGACCAUAAUUACUUUUGAUAUCUAUUUAGCCAAAUGAUUUUAUAAUAUAAUUCCAUGCACAAUAGUAAUCAAGAAAGGGCAUUUGGUCUAGUGGUAUGAUUCUCGCUUCGGGUGCGAGAGGUCCCGAGUUCGAUUCUCGGAAUGCCCCCUGACCUUUUUCAUUUCUUGGAUUCUUAUUUUAUAUAUGAUAUAAUUAUAUGGUGAUACUGUUAUAAACAAUCGGGCAUUUGGUCUAGUGGUAUGAUUCUCGCUUCGGGUGCGAGAGGUCCCGAGUUCGAUUCCCGGAAUGCCCCCUCUUUUUUGGCGUAUAUUUUGAUUAAACAGAGAUUCGAAUGUCACAAACUGAAAUUUGGAAUAAUAUCUUUGGAGCUGAUUUUGUCCUCAACGCCUGGUAUAAAAUAAAAUUUAACAGAUAAUUAGAUAUUGAUCUCAAACUGUUUGCAGAAUUGUUAUCAAUGAAAUAACAUAGAAAUGCAUCAAGGGCAUUUGGUCUAGUGGUAUGAUUCUCGCUUUGGGUGCGAGAGGUCCCGAGUUCGAUUCUCGGAAUGCCCCUGUUUUUAGUUAUCAUUUUUUGUUGAAGACACACAAAAGAAAUAGAACUGUGCAAAGAGUUACUAUUUUGGGUUGUAUUCUUCUAUACAUACUAUCCUCAUACGGUGCCAAAAGUUUUAACCUAAUUUGGCAUUUCAAACAGAGACUCUGAGAGAGUUGUGACCACUGACCACAUUUCCAUAUCCAACAAGAAAAAGGGUUUUCAGUCAAAACUCAAAAGUAUGGUUAUCAGUUUUUGUUUCUAAAUGUAGAGCUGGUGAUGUUGAUUGUGAUAAAGUUUUUGUUGGGAAAUGUAUGAAGUCCUGCUGCUCAGUGAUUCCACACCACAAGUAUACAACUGAGAAACUUUCUUAUACUCCGUUGUAAAGAGGCUCUUAUAAGAUAACCUUCUUAUUACUUAACAUCUUGUGGUAACUAAUGGAUUUAUUGUGUACAGAACAAACAGUAACAACAACUGGGCAUUUGGUCUAGUGGUAUGAUUCUCGCUUAGGGUGCGAGAGGUCCCGAGUUCAAUUCUCGGAAUGCCCCUAAUGUUAAAGACAGAUUUUUUUUUCUCAUGGUGCUGUCGUUUUUAUGGAGACCAGUACACACACUCAUUCAUGGAGUCCUACAUAUUUAGUGCUUGUGAAAGUCCAGUCUCACAUAAAAAUCCAAGUGGGUUCACCGUAGCAUGCUAGAAUUCGGAAAAUAGCAACCAACAGAACUUUCAAAUAAACAUCUGAUUAUGAGAGCAUUGCUAAAAUUUUAACAUAAUCAAUAAACUACAUAUAAGCAAUAAUCAUCAACAAAUGUUUAUCUAGAUACCUUCAAUAGAUAAGCAAUACUAUCUCCAAAAGUUGUUAUCUUCCAAAAGUUGUAACACUCCCAUAAUGCUUUGGUACCAGCUACCAGCAAAAAAGAUACCGAUGGUGUUUUCUGAUUGUUGGAUCCUUAACAGCUAUAUUUAAACUUUAAAGAAAAAAAAUAAUAUAUUCAUCAAGUGCCAAAUGGAUUCAUCAAGUUCAAACUCUGCUUAUUGGCCUUUAUCUUCAUCAUUAAAGACAUUUCAUCCUUAUCUAAUACAUAUGCGCCUAACACUCACGUUUUGUCAACAUUUUCUCGGGGUAUGCUUCUUCUUCUUCAUGAUACUGCAAGAUUAAGUGGGCCAAUAAAUACUUAAAAUCCUAUAAACAUAUGAAUUGUGAAGCUUCACAUGAUCGUCUCAAGCAAGAUUACUUCACUGGAAAUCUCAUAUAUGGUGAUGACAUGUUCUGGAUGUGAAGAGAAAUGUUCCUAUGAAUAGUUGAUGAUAUAGACCGUCCGUAUUUUAGAUUAUCUUGGAAUGCUAGAGGCAAAAUGCAUUUUAGUCAAUUGAGUGCACAUAUGCAAUACACAACUAGUGUAAGAGACAAUUCUUAACGUGUAUGCCGAGUAGUUGAAAGUCUACAAAACUUUUGUACAAGUGUUAUAUUGUAUGUGGACAAUAAUAUUUGUAUAAACCGACUGUCAAUGAUAUACGAUUUUUGUAUAUGGUAUAUGAAUCCUAACAUGAAUUUCCUGGAAUGCUAGACAACAGUGGCAAAGGGAAUGAAGAGUAAAUUAUGAGCAAGAAAAGAACCAUAGAUUCUUUUUUCAAAUGAAUGGAAGAUGUGUGUGAUCUACAAUUGCUUCCGGUUAGUGAUAAUACUAAAGAUGAUGUUCAUAAUAUACAUAGAAAAGCCCAGUAAUAUUCAACCUGAAGAAAAAAAUGAUAUAUUAGAUUUAGGAGAGUUAAAAUUAGAUUAUUUGAUUUGUAAUCCAAAAGAACGACCUUCAAUCUCAAGUUAUCCAAGUAACCAACAUGAUGAGAUUAGACGAUUAUAUAUUAAACUUGGACCAUACCAAUUUUUAAUUCUUAGCAAUUUUUUUUUUUUUCAUUUAAAAUUUUAGACCAUUACUUUAUGCGUGUAUAACAUUAUAUUUUAAUAUAUUAUUGCUACGUAAAAUUAUCAGCCCCUCUAUUCUUAAAUCUUGGCUCCGCCCCUACUAGACAACAUUGAUUGUACAAAUUGGUCUCAAAGGAAUUAUGCUUGAAGGGCAUCCUUGCAAAAUUUAUGGAUUUAGUAUGCAUUUUUUUGGUGUGGCCAAAUCCAAUGAUAUAAACAACCUCGAUCAAUCACAAUUAUUCAAAGUUAUAUUAAAUGGAACUGCACCUAGUUGUCCAUUCCGAGUUAACCGAGUACACUACAAGCAUAUGUAUUAUAUUAAUAUUCCGCCGAUGGGAUAUACCCCAAAUUGGGAUACUUUUGUCAAAACAUUUACCUUUCCAAAUGAUGAUAAAUAAAAAUAGUUCAAAGCAACAUAAGAACCAAUAAGGGAAGGACAUGGAAAGAGUUUUUGGUGUUGUUAAAAUUCAUUGGGGGGUAUAUAUUGAAACCAUACACAGGCAAUACAUACUAGAAGAAUUAUAAAUAUAAUGUAUGAUUGCAUUGUAGUACACAAUAUGAUUUUAAAAGACAAAGGUAAAAUGAUAUGUCAUUUUCACGAAACAAAUCUCCCAACCUAUCAAGAAGGUCUAAACGUUAAUCAAGAUACUCUUAAGGAAUUGUAUUGUCGAAAACCCCACAACAACCUUCGAUCGGAUCUUGUGAAACACACUACAAACUUCUACAUGCUACUUGUAAUUUCUUUUAUUAUGAUGUUAUUUAUUUAGUUGCAUUUUUUAUUUUGAGUUAUUUGUUUAGUUGUAUUUUUUAUUUUUGACUAAAGUUUUAAAUUUAGUGUACUCUUUUAAUCUCUAUUUAAUUUAGUAUUUUAAUAAAACAAAAGUGUGAGAUGAUGUAGCAUAGAAAGAUAAAUAAUUUCUAUAGUUUGGGUUGAUUUUAGGAUAGAGUGGAAAAAUAGAGGAAAACCAUUGAUGUUAAUAUGGAAAGAAAGAUGGAAAAAUGACCAUUCCUUCCACCCUAAGGGCACUAUACAUAUUUCACACUAGAGCGUCACAUCUAGCUAGAAGUCAAGAAAUUUUUUAAGCUUAAAACCUAGCUAGCACACAAUAUCUUUUAAAUGAAUAAACAAUGUUCAAUACAAACCACUUCAUCAAUAUACAUACGAUAAACAAUUGUAUAAAAGUUGUAUCACCAUAUUAGGACCAUCACUCGACCUCCAACCGACCACCUAACUUGCCCCCACAAUGAGAUCCUAGUGGUUGAGGUGUUAAAUUAUGAAGAAAGAGGUUCAAAGUUCAAACCUAGAAACACCUAAAGUAUUACUAGUGCUCCAUGAUUUAAUCCCAUAUGAUAUGAUGGGCCAUGGGAAGGUUCGGCAUGGGUCACCCUGAUGGUGCAAUUUAUCAUUGUUUUAAAGUGUUCACCAAAUUCCAACGAAAGGUAAGGUAUAUGGAAGACAAUUUAGUAUUAUUUAGAAUAAUAGGGAUAACUAGUGUUCCAUUAAUGUGACUCACUUAAUGUCACAUAUCACUCCAAGUGUGUCUUAUAUUGGUAUAACUUACACACUUUAAUAAAUGGUACAUGUAGAGGUAACAUAUGUCAUUAAUGUAGCUUUAUAUGCAUAAGAAGUGACUUUGUCUCCUGGAUAUAGUUCAUUAAAUUUGAGAUUUUAUGAAAAAACAUGAUAUAUAGAAGUGACAUGUCGCCAAUAUAGGCCCAACAUGAAUUAUGCCCUAUAUAAUUUUAUUGGAAUGCAAAAAACAAAACCAUGUGGAGGCGACCGAUGAUGAAGGUUACUAUAUGUUUGGAUGUGGUAACAAUGUUUUGGUAUUAUAACUUUGAAUGUUUUGAUAUAACAUCAUGGUCCCUAUGGUUUAGGGUAAUUUACACGUUUGAUCUUUAACUUAUUUUUUUAACUCGAAAGUUCCUUGUUGUUUGUUUUUGUUAUGCGUUUGGUCUAUGUCUUACCUAAAAAGACUAAUUUACCCUUGAUUUUUUUAAUUUAUUUAAAUAAACAGACCCCCAACCCCACCCCCUCACGUUACCUUACCUACCCCACCAUUUUUCCUAUUUAAAUAAUAGUUUUUUUUAGGUAAGACAAUGAUCAAGCGUGUAACAAAAACAAAUAGUAGNGAGAGAGAGAGAGAGAGAGACAUAAGGGAUCGUGUCGCACCAAUAUAAGACACACUAACACUCCCUCUCAGAUUUGGAUGCUUGAUAAAGAUAGUAAGGUAUGUGUGCUGAGCCACAAGGGUGCGGGACGCCGACUAUGAUACCAUGUAAAUAUAUGUGGACCCUAAUAUUGUCUCUCCAAAAGAGCCCUUAUGGGGAGAAGGGAGGCUCCAACAUAUAUGUAAACAUAAGAGACCAUGUCACACUAGUAUGGGAUAUACAAACACAUUGUUUUGUAUUUUGUUUGAAUGUUAUGUAUUAGAUUUUAAGGAUUUUGAGUGCAUGCUUUUAGUUGUUUGUAAAGAAAUCAAAGACUUAAUACUUUCAUUACUCAAUAAAUUACAAAAAAAAAAAAAAAAAAACCUUACUACAUAACUCUAAAAAUAUUCUUGGCAAUUUACAGUUUAAUAAAAAAAGUAAACCAUUAACUCUAACAAUUCAAAGAAAACAUAGACUAAAAGGAAACCCUAAUAACAUAUGUAUAAGAUGAUCAACUUUGAUAGAGUGAGACAUAAGUGUAUUGGAAUUUAAAUUUUAUUUACGUAUUGGAUAUCGUUUGCGCAUAUCUUUUAUUAGCUUGUGCCUUAAGUUUAGGACAUUACGUUUUUAUCUUUUUCUAUGUAUUUAAACAUUAUGGGGAUCAAUAGAAGAAUGAAUUUUAUGCUGUCAAUUCCUAGAUGGUAUCUAAGCAUGUCAACGAAACUCUUACCUACAACAAUUAUACAGAUUGGUCUCAAGAGAGCCACACAUGUGUGACUUUCGACCAUGAUACAAUAUGAUGAGUUUUGAUAUAAAAUAUAAGUGUGUUUUUCAUAAAAACCGGUCAACAGAAGCGUUAAAAAUAACAAGUUUAUUUUUGAGUUUAUAAUAAAACCAAACCAUCUAGAAUCCAUUAAUAGAGGUUAGAAUAAUAUAAUAUAAAACAAUCAUAUAGUGUUUUAGAAUGGCAACAUUUGGAGCCUUUGAACCCACCUAGUUUUGGAGUGUUAAUGAAGAUAGAAAAAUAAAAGAGUAUAAUUUUCUCUACAAGUAUCCACCAUCAAGAUUAAGGAACUUGGAAUGAUAGUUUCGUCGUGUAUUCUUGAGUAUCUUACGCCUUUAAGUAACUAUCUCAAAUAAGCACUAAAAGAGACAACUCAAGGAAGCUUCAAAUCACCAAAAUAGCUUCAAAAGAGAGAGAAAUGAGGGGAGGAAAGGUGGUUUCGUUCACCAUAAGGAAAGAGUAAAAACUAGCCAAAAAAUGCAAGAACAUGCAUUCCUUUUAUACUCUCAUGCAAUACAUACAUUUAGAUUAUAAUAAUAUAAAGUAUCGGUAGUCUUUUAGAAGCAUGGAGAACAUAAAAGGAAAGUUGACAAUCAACAUCUUCUUUUAUAAAAAUGAUUUUGGCCAUGCUUAAGAAGAAGACAAAAAUUAUCUAGCUAGCUUAUUAACCAUGAUAUGUUAACUCAUUAACUUAAUCAUGGUUAACCAAAGUAUCCAAAACUUUGUACAUGACUUAUUAAAUCAUAUCAUAUGAUAUAAUAACUAGAUAUUAUUAUUUUCACAAAACAAUAAUUAUUCCCUAACUAAAUACAAGAAUUAAUAUUAUUUAAUAAUAAUAAUAAUAAAUAUACAAAAUGUGCCAACUUGAUAAAUGUGUGAUCCUAUAGGAUCAUAUAUUAUUAGCAAUAUCACUCAAUAAUGAUUCUUGGACAUAUAAAUUCAACAAAAUAUUAACAGAACUGGGAUAAAUAUUAACCGAGUAGGCAAUAUCCAGAUACGAAUUCUGCAUUCUACAUCCAUGCAUCUGAUUACCCCAAAUAGAUGCAUGUCAAUGAAACUCUUACUGACAACAACUAUACAGACUGGUCUCAAGAGAUGAUGAAAUUUCUCUUUGCCAAAAAUAAGGUUGGUUUUGUUGAUGGGUCCAUUGCGAAACCAGAAAAGGAUUCAGCCAAAUACAUGUCCUAAAUGCAUUGUGAUGCCAUGGUAAAAUGGUGGCUCAUAACAGACAUGGAAAAGGGAAUAAGGAGCAAUAUAAAGUAUGCUCAUACUGAUUCUGAGAUCUAGAACGAUCUAAAUGAGUGUUUUGGGAAAGAAAGCACGCCAAUGACAUAUGAAUUAAAACAAACACUCUCGAUGACGCAUCAGAACACAACCAUUGUGUCCAUCUAUUACACUAAGUUGCGUAAUCUCUAGGAUGAAAUCAGAUUUGUGCUUUCUUGUAACGACCCAAUUUUCAAGGUAAAAUUUUCAUUUUAGAAUAAGCAACCAUGAUGUCAUACAUAAGAAAUCCAGUUAUAAUUGUUUUCAAAACAUAAAUCAAAUACAACUUUUAUUCCAAACAUCAGAGUGUCCCAAAAGUCUGUGAGAGAGUGCACGUCACGCCAUCACGCCUUGCCCUUGGAAUCUGAAGUACCUGAAACCAUAAACAAACUUGUAAGCACGAAGCUUAGUGAGUUCCCCAGAGCAUACCCCACACAAAAACCACAUAACAUGCAAGCUAUAAAAGCUACCUCCACCACAUACACAUAUCCAUCAGCUAUAAAGCUACCUCUACCACAUAACAUAUCAAUCAGCUAUAAAGCUACCUCUACCACAUAACUGAUGAGUUUGAGCCAUAAGAACAUUCCUAUGUGCACAUACAAACCCUAAUGUUUGGAUCUAGGUUUCUCUAAUGAACAUGAUUUUCAUCCAAGACUUGCAAACCCUAGAUCUAUGGUAUACAAUCCGAAAUUGACAAUUUAAAAGAGAUCUAGAUGAUUACCUUUACUUGAAAGCUUGAAUCUUGUUAGUUGUUAUCCUUGGAGCUUAGAGUAGUUGUCACUCCUCUAAUGGAUUACAAACAUCAAGAGGAAAGAGGAUGAUUUGGAGAGAGGUUGUAGGUACAAAAUUGGCUCUAAGAACUCCUUAGGGUUUCUGGUAGCCGAUUUCUGUAGCCUCUGGGUCCUUUAAAUACUUGAGCUGCUAGGAUUACAACUUGAAACCCUAAUUGGAUAACUUAGGCCUUAAGCAGUCCAAGGAUCCUUCUAGAUUAGGGCUUGGACGAAUUCAAGGAGUCCAUACACCUUAAUUUCGUCCACCCUAUGAUCCAUAAGGAUCCACAGCCCAAAACCAACUAUCACACAAUUGACAGUUCUAGUCCCCUUUAUUUAAUUAAUCUCUUUUAGUCACAUAAUUAAUUCUUAAUUAAUUAUUGUCUAAUAUUAAUUAAACUAUAUGAUUUCUCCUUUGAUAUAUUAAUCAAAUAAUAUAUUAAUAAAUCAUAAUAACCUCAUUAUUUAUAAAUCAUCCUAUCAUGUUGCUCUGGUGAAGGCAACCCAAAAGGACCAUGCACAACCGGGUCAAGUACUUAUUAAAUAUAGUUACGGGCUUAGACACUAAUCAAACAGUCUCCCGCUUGGAUAAGUCUAGUAACUAUAAAUGUAAGCACAAUCCGAUUAGCAAUCGUAGCUUUCAAAGAUGCUAUCGAACUUUGAUCUUAUCAACAACCUGUCCUUUAGAUAAGGGAUCGUAUAGUCCUCUAUUCUAGAUAUUUUGCGGACAAUUACAUGGAACAUAGUCAUACUUAUUAUCCAACAGUUUGUUUCUCGAUCUCUGAUGUGCUUGACAUAGAACUUAAUAACAAGACACUCUUCUUCAACCUUUCAUAUAAUCAGAUCUAAUCAAGAAAAAAGAUUGAUUUUGUUUCUGGAUGAAACUUGGUAACCAUAUUAAUAAUAAUUGGAUCUAUUAUUCGCAACUAAUCGACACACACACACACACAUAUAUAUAUAUAUAUAUAUANNNNNNNNNNNNNNNNNNNNNNNNNNNNNNNNNNNNNNNNNNNNNNNNNNNNNNNNNNNNNNNNNNNNNNNNNNNNNNNNNNNNGGCUCGUGACAAAAUUGCAAAAAUGGUCCCUAUGGUUGUCAAAAUUUUGUAGUUUUGGUCCAAAACGAAAUGUUGGUGCACCACCGGUCCAAUUUUAGAUACAUUGUGUGGUUUUGAUCCCUAUUGUUGUAAUUUCUUGUGUUUUUGGUCCACAUCCCACCUAAAAUGACUAAUAUGCCCCUUAAAUAAUUAUACUUUAAUUUCUUUUAAUUAUUUUCUUAUUCUUAUAAUAAAAUAAAAACAAAAUAAACCCACCACAUACACACACACACACGCACACACACACACACUCUCUCUCUCUCUCUCUCUCUCUCUCUUCAUCUGCCAUCACAACAGCCUCAUCUCUCGCACUUCUUUUGUCCAUCGAGCAAACUCUACCAAACCCCCACUUGCCUGCCUUGUUCCACCAGAUCAUUCUUCUGUCCACCUCUCCUUCGAGUUUCAUCGUUGGAUGCCACCUCCGUUCUUAUUUCUUCGAGCGACCCAAGGUCGUCGAUUCUGCUGCUAUGCGUCUCUUAGAUCGAUGCCGAAGACGAGGAAGAAAAACCCACAAAGGGUCACCGGUCUCGAAGAAUCUGCAUAUUUGGAAGAAUUCUUAGCUCAUCAUCGCUUUAUUAAGGAUUCACACACACACACACACACACUUUUUGAAAUCAAUUGAGAAGUAGAAGACAUAUCAGGGGACGAAAUCGAUAUGAAAUUUGUCAGGAUUCAACCACUUUAAACCAGUAAACCCUAAUGGCUCGAUUAAUAGGUGUGUGUGUGUGUGUAUUUUUGAUUGCAGCUCUCAAGGAUCCGAUUUAAGGGUGAUAUCUGGUGGUUCGGGAAAGGGGUGAAGGAAGGUGUUCGAUUGUGGGUGAUUAAGGUGACUGGAGGAAUUUAUGAUUUUGGUUUUGCUUAGAAGAAAUCAAAGAGGGGAAAAUGCGAUCUUGGAAGAAGGAAUGAUUCUGAUGAUGAAUCGCUUUCACAAGUGUGGAAGGUUGUCAAGAACAUAAGGUGUUCGAUGAAUUAACAAAGAGACAAAUAAAGUUAUACCAUUGAAAACGACUCACCUUUGGCUGACCCACACACUCUGUUUCUGUUUCUUCUUCUUCUUCUUCAAAGCCUCACACAACUAUCAGUUCUUUUACUUUUGCUCCUAUAUAAUAUUCAUCACAAUCUUUUCUCCUUCUCUUGCAAAUUAAUGAACAACUUCAAAAUAGAACCAAAUCGAUUAGAAGGGCAGUAUUGAUGGGGAAGUGUUAUCGGGCAUGAGGAAGGAAAGAUGGGGGUGAGGGUGGGAUUGGAUGUUUAUGGUGGACAAUGGUGGCAGUCAAUGGUGAUGGUGGCGAACGGUGGUAGCAAUCGGUGGUGAUGGUGACGACCACUAAUGGUGAUAUGUUCUUUUUUGAGAGUGUGUGUGUGCGUUUUUGUUGAGAGAGAGGGGGAAAGAGAAAUGGUGGGUAGACCUUUUUU
rnacentral:lncRNA from 1 species